rnacentral:rRNA from 1 species
GACGAACGCUGGCGGCGCGCCUAACACAUGCAAGUCGAACGAGAGAUGAGGAGCUUGCUCUUCAAAUCGAGUGGCGAACGGGUGAGUAACGCGUGAGGAACCUGCCUCAAAGAGGGGGACAACAGUUGGAAACGACUGCUAAUACCGCAUAAGCCCACAGCUCGGCAUCGAGCAGAGGGAAAAGGAGUGAUCCGCUUUGAGAUGGCCUCGCGUCCGAUUAGCUAGUUGGUGAGGUAACGGCCCACCAAGGCGACGAUUGGUAGCCGGACUGAGAGGUUGAACGGCCACAUUGGGACUGAGACACGGCCCAGACUCCUACGGGAGGCAGCAGUGGGGAAUAUUGCACAAUGGAGGAAACUCUGAUGCAGCGACGCCGCGUGAGUGAAGAAGUAAUUCGUUAUGUAAAGCUCUAUCAGCAGGGAAGAUAGUGACGGUACCUGACUAAGAAGCUCCGGCUAAAUACGUGCCAGCAGCCG